AUGUGGUCCAUAUGGUGGGCGCGGCGACGUGCUAUUCAUGAUGAUCAGUACCAAAGCCCCCUGAGCACCUCGGUUUUUAUCACAAAGUUCCUGGGAGAUCUUGACUUGAUGGCUGAGAACAAGCUUCGUCCAACCAAGGUCCAGCAUGUGAUGCCGAAGGAAUUGCAUGUAACAGCUGAUAAUGCAGCGACCAAAGCAACCAGACCGGUAUGGAUUCCCCCAACAGACUUCGACGUGAAAAUCAAUGUAGAUGGCGGUGUGUCAUGUGGUAGGAGAGGCGCUGCAGCGGUCAUUUGCCGAGAUAAGGCAGGAGCUUUCUUGGGAUCUUCAGCCAGAGUUUUCGAAGGCCUUACGGACCCGCCCUCGCUAGAGGCGCAAGCAUGCAAUGAAGCACUUGCCUUGGCUACGGACCUCAACUUGAAUGAUGUAUGUGUGACAUCGGACUGUGCUGAAGUGAUCUCCAAGAUCGGGACUGAAGCUCCUUGCCACUACACAUCGAUAUUGCGUGAGAUUAGCUAUCGCUCUACUCAUUUUCAAGACAUUCGUAUUGUUCAUGAGAGUAGGAAGUAUAAUUCGGAAGCACAUUCGCUUGCAAAAGCUGCAUUGUAA
rnacentral:rRNA from 1 species